GAUGAACGCUAGCGGGAGGCUUAAUACAUGCAAGUCGAGCGGUAGAUUGACUUCGGUUGAUUGAGAGCGGCGCACGGGUGAGUAACGCGUACGUGACCUGCCCUUAAGAGGGGAUAGCCCUGGGAAACUGGGAGUAAUCCGCCAUGUGUUUGUGAAGCUGCAUGGUUUUACAAAUAAAGCUGAGGCGCUUAAGGAUGGGCGUGCGUCUGAUUAGGUAUUGGCAGGGUAACGGCCUACCAAGCCUACGAUCAGUAGGGGGCUGAGAGCGUGGCCCCCCCAACGGGUACUGAGACACGGACCCGAUUCCUACGGGAGGCAGCAGUUAAGGAAUAUUGGUCAAUGGGCGAAGCCUGAACCAGCCAUCCCGCGUGCAGGAUGAAGGCCCUAUGGGUUGUAAACUG
rnacentral:rRNA from 1 species